rnacentral:rRNA from 1 species
AGAGUUUGAUCCUGGCUCAGGAUGAACGCUGGCGGCAUGCCUAAUACAUGCAAGUCGAACGAGAGACCUUCGGGUCUCUAGUGGCGAACGGGUGAGUAACACGUAGGGAACCUGCCCGCGCACCGGGAAUACGCUCUGGAAACGGAGAACAAAUCCCGAUGUACAGGAAGGAGGCAUCUUCUUUCUGUGAAACAUCCUCUAGGGGAUGGGGCGCGGAUGGACCUGCGGUGCAUUAGUUUGUUGGCGGGGUAAAGGCCCACCAAGACGAUGAUGCAUAGCCGGCCUGAGAGGGCGGACGGCCACAUUGGGACUGAGACACGGCCCAGACUCCUGCGGGAGGCAGCAGUAGGGAAUUUUCGUCAAUGGGCGCAAGCCUGAACGAGCGAUGCCGCGUGAGUGAAGAAGGCCUUCGGGUCGUAAAGCUCUGUUGCGGGGGAAAAAAGGCAGCAUCAGGAAAUGGGUGCUGACUGAUGGUGCCCCGCCAGAAAGUCACGGCUAACUACGUGCCAGCAGCCGCGGUAAUACGUAGGUGGCGAGCGUUAUCCGGAAUGAUUGGGCGUAAAGGGUGCGCAGGCGGUCCUGCAAGUCUGGAGUGAAACGCAUGAGCUCAACUCAUGCAUGGCUUUGGAAACUGGAGGACUGGAGAGCAGGAGAGGGCGGUGGAACUCCAUGUGUAGCGGUAAAAUGCGUAGAUAUAUGGAAGAACACCAGUGGCGAAGGCGGCCGCCUGGCCUGUUGCUGACGCUGAGGCACGAAAGCGUGGGGAGCAAAUAGGAUUAGAUACCCUAGUAGUCCACGCCGUAAACGAUGAGGACCAAGUGUUGGGGGUGAAACCUCAGUGCUGAAGUUAACGCAGUGAGUCCUCCGCCUGGGGAGUAUGCACGCAAGUGUGAAACUCAAAGGAAUUGACGGGGGCCCGCACAAGCGGUGGAGUAUGUGGUUUAAUUCGAAGCAACGCGAAGAACCUUACCUGGUCUUGACAUCCCCCUGACCGGCGAGUAAUGUUGCCUUUCCUUCGGGACAGGGGAGACAGGUGGUGCAUGGUUGUCGUCAGCUCGUGUCGUGAGAUGUUGGGUUAAGUCCCGCAACGAGCGCAACCCCUAUCUUCAGUAGCCAGCAUUAAGGAUGGGCACUCUGGAGAGACUGCCAGGGACAACCUGGAGGAAGGUGGGGAUGACGUCAAAUCAUCAUGCCCCUUAUGGCCAGGGCUACACACGUGCUACAAUGGCGUAAACAAAGGGAAGCGAGCCCGCGAGGGUAAGCAAAUCUCAAAAAUAACGUCUCAGUUCGGAUUGUAGUCUGCAACUCGACUACAUGAAGCUGGAAUCGCUAGUAAUCGCGGAUCAGAAUGCCGCGGUGAAUACGUUCCCGGGUCUUGCACUCACCGCCCGUCA